rnacentral:rRNA from 1 species
AGAGUUUGAUCCUGGCUCAGGAUGAAUGCUGGCGGCGUGCCUAAUACAUGCAAGUCGAGCGGUAACAGGGCUUCACCGUUUCCUUGACACACCUAGCGCAUUUAUCGUAGGUUGGUUAGAUUCGAGGGAACAGUGAAGCUGCUGACGAGCGGCGGACGGCUGAGUAACGCGUGGGAACGUACCCCAAACUGAGGGAUAACUACUCGAAAGAGUGGCUAAUACCGCAUAUGAUCUUCGGAUUAAAGCUUUCGGGCGGUUUGGGAAUGGCCUGCGUACGAUUAGAUAGUUGGUAGGGUAACGGCCUACCAAGUCGACGAUCGUUAGAUGGUUUGAGAAGAUGAUCAUCCAGACUGGGACUGAGACACGGCCCAGACUCCUACGGGAGGCAGCAGUAGGGAAUCUUUCACAAUGGGCGAAAGCCUGAUGGAGCAACGCCGCGUGCAGGAUGACGGCCUUCGGGUUGUAAACUGCUUUUAUAUCUGAGAAAUAUGAUGGUAAGAUAUGAAUAAGGACCGGCUAACUACGUGCCAGCAGCCGCGGUCAUACGUAGGGUCCAAGCAUUAUCCGGAUUGACUGGGUGUAAAGAGUUGCGUAGGUGGCAGGGUAAGUAGAUAGUGAAAUCUGGUGGCUCAACCAUUCAGACUAUUAUCUAAACUGCUCCGCUCGAGAGCGUUAGGGGUAGCUGGAAUUUCUAGUGUAGGAGUGAAAUCCGUAGAUAUUAGAAAGAACACCGAUAGCGUAGGCAGGCUACUGGGACGUUUCUGACACUAAGCACGAAAGCGUAGGGAGCAAACGGGAUUAGAUACCCCGGUAGUCUACGCUGUAAACGAUGGAUACUAGCAGUUUCGGGUAUCGACCC